GGGAAUCUACCCAUCUCUGCGGAAUAGCUCUGGGAAACUGGAAUUAAUACCGCAUACGCCCUACGGGGGAAAGAUUUAUCGGGGAUGGAUGAGCCCGCGUUGGAUUAGCUAGUUGGUGGGGUAAGGGCCUACCAAGGCGACGAUCCAUAGCUGGUCUGAGAGGAUGAUCAGCCACAUUGGGACUGAGACACGGCCCAAACUCCUACGGGAGGCAGCAGUGGGGAAUAUUGGACAAUGGGCGCAAGCCUGAUCCAGCCAUGCCGCGUGAGUGAUGAAGGCCUUAGGGUUGUAAAGCUCUUUCACCGGUGAAGAUAAUGACGGUAACCGGAGAAGAAGCCCCGGCUAACUUCGUGCCAGCAGCCGCGGUAAUACGAAGGGGGCUAGCGUUGUUCGGAAUUACUGGGCGUAAAGCGCACGUAGGCGGAUAUUUAAGUCAGGGGUGAAAUCCCAGAGCUCAACUCUGGAACUGCCUUUGAUACUGGGUAUCUUGAGUAUGGAAGAGGUAAGUGGAAUUGCGAGU
rnacentral:rRNA from 1 species